rnacentral:rRNA from 1 species
UACAGAGACUGCAAGCGUUAUUCGGAUUCACUGGGCGUAAAGGGUGCGCAGGCGGCCAAGUGUGUUAGGCGUGAAAGCCCGGGGCUUAACCCCGGAAUUGCACCUAAAACUACAUGGCUAGAGCAUUGGAGAGGGUAGCGGAAUUCACGGUGUAGCAGUGAAAUGCGUAGAUAUCGUGAGGAACACCAGAGGCGAAGGCGGCUACCUGGACAAUUGCUGACGCUCAGGCACGAAAGCCGUGGGGG